UUAGAGUUUGAUCCUGGCUCAGGAUGAACGCUGGCGGCGUGCCUAACACAUGCAAGUCGAACGAGAGAGCGCCCCUCGGGGCGCCAGUACAGUGGCGAACGGGUGAGUAACACGUGACCAACCUCCCUCCCGCCCCGGGAUACCUCAGGGAAACCUGAGCUAACACCGGGUACUCCGGGGGCCCCGCAUGGGGCCCCCGGGAAAGCCCUCGGGCGGCGGGAGAUGGGGUCGCGGCCCAUUAGGUAGUCGGCGGGGCAACGGCCCACCGAGCCCGCGAUGGGUAGCCGGGUUGAGAGACCGAUCGGCCACAUUGGGACUGAGAUACGGCCCAGACUCCUACGGGAGGCAGCAGUGGGGAAUUUUGCGCAAUGGGGGGAUGCCCUGACGCAGCAACGCCGCGUGCGGGACGGAGGCCUUCGGGCUGUGAACCGCUUUCAGCAGGGACGAUCGUGACGGUACCUGCAGAAGAAGCUCCGGCUAACUACGUGCCAGCAGCCGCGGUAAUACGUAGGGAGCGAGCGUUAUCCGGAUUCAUUGGGCGUAAAGCGCUCGUAGGCCGCCCGCCAAGCAGGGCUUCGAACCUGGGGGCUCAACCUCCAGCAGGGCCUUGGACUGGCGGGCUCGAGUGCGGUAGAGGAAGGCGGAAUUCCCAGUGGAGCGGUGGAAUGCACAGAUAUUGGGAAGAACACCGAUGGCGAAGGCAGCCUUCUGGGCCGCCACUGACGCUGAGGAGCGAAAGCUAGGGGAGCGAACAGGAUUAGAUACCCUGGUAGUCCUAGCCGUAAACGAUGGGCACUAGGUGUGGGGGAGACCCCCCCGUGCCGCAGCCAACGCAUUAAGUGCCCCGCCUGGGGAGUACGGCCGCAAGGCUAAAACUCAAAGGAAUUGACGGGGGCCCGCACAAGCAGCGGAGCAUGUGGCUUAAUUCGAAGCAACGCGAAGAACCUUACCAGGCCUUGACACCCGGGUGAAGCGGCGGAGACGCCGUGGCCGAGAGGAGCCCGGACAGGUGGUGCAUGGCUGUCGUCAGCUCGUGUCGUGAGAUGUUGGGUUAAGUCCCGCAACGAGCGCAACCCCUGUCGCGUGUUGCCAGCAUUCAGUUGGGGACUCACGCGAGACUGCCGGCGUCAAGCCGGAGGAGGGCGGGGACGACGUCAUGUCAUCAUGCCCCUUAUGGCCUGGGCUGCACACGUGCUACAAUGGCCGGCACAGCGAGCGGCGAGCCCGCGAGGGCGAGCGAAUCUCACAAAGCCGGCCCCAGUUCGGACUGGAGGCUGCAACCCGCCUCCACGAAGCCGGAGUUGCUAGUAAUCGCGGAUCAGCACGCCGCGGUGAAUGCGUUCCCGGGCCUUGUACACACCGCCCGUCACACCAUCCGAGUCGUCUGCACCCGAAGUCGUCGGCCCAACCGCAAGGAGGGAGAUGCCGAAGGUGUGGAGGGUAAGGGGGGUGAAGUCGUAACAAGGUAACC
rnacentral:rRNA from 1 species